UCACUUUUGUCUCUAUACCCUCUCACAAAGAAACCCUAGCCGCUCUCUUACCCCUCGCCGGCUCCGCCUCUCUCCACCGCCCGGAAAUCGCCUCAUGGUGGCGGACCACCUCCAAACUCCACCAAAUUAACACCCCAUGACCGUCUUUACAUCCUCUUUCCAAAUAUCACCACGGUUCCCUUCGAAUCGGUCUCCAACCCCUCGAAUCUUAGAUCUGAGACCCCAGAAACCCUAACUUUCCCUUUUCAAAUAUUGGUCAGUGUUGGGUCAUAUGAACCCGAGACGUCCAUUAGUCGAUUGUUCUUGUUAAGAACAGUCGAUUAAUUGUUGUAUAAGUUCAUAUUUUCCCCUUUAAAACCGGUCAAGUUCGUGUCUGGCUAUUUCAACAUGAACUUGAGGUAGUUCCUUUUUCCUUUUCCUGUUAUUUUUAUCUUUAUCUCCUUUCCUCUCUCAUGAUUCAUUCUCUUUGUUAAACCCGCAUGAGUUAGUUUUAAGUUCUUUAUUGCUUUUUUUUUUGGAAUUUGCAUGUUUGUUUCAUAGUUUAGAUCAAUUAAAGCAUGCUGAAUGCCCUAAGUGUUUGAAGUUUAAUUUCAAUUGUCUAAGGUUAGGAUAAUUAGGUUUAAUUUUUUAGGGUUUUGGUAAAAAUUUGACUGUUCUGUUUUUCUUUUGUGUUUUGUUUCCCUCUUAUAUUUGUUUGCUUGAUAUUCGUUAUUUAGUUUGAAAUUGAUUAGAAUAGUUUUAGGAGUUCAAUUUAUUUGGCCAAUCUCUGACUAGUCAUUAGAAAACCUUAGCUUUAGUUAAUCUGUUUAAUUGCAAACUAAUUAGGUCAAUUUCUAGGUCUCUUUGCAUUAGCAUUCUGUUUAGUUACUGUUUAGCUACAAGUUUAAAAUUUAGUGUUUAUUCAAGAUUAAUUAGAUGAACUUAUCAAUUAGGUUUAAAUGGUUAGAAUUAAAGCUUAGAUACCUUAGACUUUAGGAUAAUCUCAUAAAUGAAGGGUAAAUGCCCCAAGGUUCUAAGUUGUUACAAAUUGAAGCAAACUUAGAAACACUAAUCACUUAGCUGGUUCUAGAAGGUCCUAAAGGGAUUUCUGGAAUCAAAAUAGGAUCAAAAUAUAGGUUGAAACUGAAAUAUUUAGUAAAUGAAAGGGUAAAACUGGUUUUACAUAAGGUAAAAAUCAGAAGGUUCUAGCAUUUUGUACAGUUGUCCCCAUUUCUAGCAUGAAAAAGGUUGGAAUUGGGCUGAAAAAAGGACAGACAGUUGUUCAAAUAUGUUGUACUAUCUGACAGUUAAGGAAUUUAGGGUAGAAUAUGCCAUUUUGAUGCUAUUAUGGCAUACAAUAUAAAAGGAAAGUUAUUCCUUCAUUCUAGAUGGAGUUCAUUAGCAUAUCUUGACCUAAAAAAUUUCAGAAUACAAAGAAAAAAUCCCUGAAACUUUUCUGGCUAAAAACUUCAAUUUUCUAGUUAGAUUUGUAGGCUAGUUUUUCUGGUACUCUGAUUUUUGAGGAGUUUGAGUGGUCGAUCCUUGAUUUUCUGGGCUGUUUUCUACUGCUGCUGUUGGUUUUGGUUGUUGCUCCAUCUCUAAGAUUUCAGCCAGCAUUUUCACUUGUUUUCCUGUUGAUUUUACUUGUUAAGGUACUGAUUUUAGCUCUCUUAAUGUACUAUUUUGUUUGAAUAAGAUCACAAGUUGCAAAUUAUAUGUAAUGAAUGAGUGUUCUUUCAUGUAGUAUUUGAUUAAUUUGUUAUAGAUCUAGUAAAUUUUUACUAUGUGAGUUUAAGUGUAGAAAUGAACUAGCAUGAGCACUUUGUUUGGUUUACUAAUACUUGUAAUUCCCUCUUUGAAAAUGGCCAAGUCUGAAAUUUUUAAGUCAAAAUCUUAUACUGAUUUUGAACUUUGAUUGUUGAAGUUGUCUUUCUUUUUUCUUCUACUCACAUGAUAAUAACAUAGUGCUUUGUUUGAGGUAAUGUGGCAUAUGGGCUAUAAAUUGUGGGUUUAGCCACUAUUUGGCCAAAUCAGCAUGUGUUAAAGCCCAAAAACUGGAUUUGUUGUUGUUAUUGUACUGAAGUUGAGAGCCUCAUAUUGGUGAACUAAGCUUGAUGGAUCAACUAUAUCCAAAGGGAGUGGGUGUUCAUUAGGCUGUCAGUUUUUUUCCAAAAAUUGUAAUAGGAUUAGCUGGUGUAUUCUUCUCAUAGAAUUUUAAUGUAAUAGAUCAGUCAUCAAUAUAGUAGUUUAUGUAUUAAUGAAUCAUAAUGUAAAUUUCUGACUUUUGAAAGCUUUUAGUUUUGCCUAAUGUACUGUAACUAAUUAAACUCUGAGUUUACAUAUUGUGGUUAAAACCACUACGGUUAGGAACUUGUUAAUUAAUUA
rnacentral:lncRNA from 1 species